AUUGAACGCUGGCGGUAUGCCUUACACAUGCAAGUCGAACGGUAACGGGUCCUUCGGGAUGCCGACGAGUGGCGAACGGGUGAGUAAUAUAUCGGAACGUGCCCAGUAGUGGGGGAUAACUGCUCGAAAGAGCAGCUAAUACAGCAUACGACCUGAGGGUGAAAGGGGGGGAUCGCAAGACCUCUCGCUAUUGGAGCGGCCGAUAUCAGAUUAGCUAGUUGGUGGGGUAAAGGCCUACCAAGGCAACGAUCUGUAGUUGGUCUGAGAGGACGACCAGCCACACUGGGACUGAGACACGGCCCAGACGCCUACGGGAGGCAGCAGUGGGGAAUUUUGGACAAUGGGCGCAAGCCUGAUCCAGCAAUGCCGCGUGCAGGAAGAAGGCCUUCGGGUUGUAAACUGCUUUUGUCAGGGAAGAAAUCUUCUGGGCUAAUACCCCGGGAGGAUGACGGUACCUGAAGAAUAAGCACCGGCUAACUACGUGCCAGCAGCCGCGGUAA
rnacentral:rRNA from 1 species